rnacentral:rRNA from 1 species
AAUAGAUACCCGGGUAGUCCACGCCGUAAACGAUGAGUGCUAAGUGUUAGGGGGUUUCCGCCCCUUAGUGCUGCAGCUAACGCAUUAAGCACUCCGCCUGGGGAGUACGGUCGCAAGACUGAAACUCAAAGGAAUUGACGGGGGCCCGCACAAGCGGUGGAGCAUGUGGUUUAAUUCGAAGCAACGCGGAGAACCUUACCAGGUCUUGACAUCCCAUUGACCGCUAUGGAGACAUAGCUUUCCCUUCGGGGACAGUGGUGACAGGUGGUGCAUGGUUGUCGUCAGCUCGUGUCGUGAGAUGUUGGGUUAAGUCCCGCAACGAGCGCAACCCUUGUUCUUAGUUGCCAUCAUUUAGUUGGGCACUCUAAGGAGACUGCCGGUGACAACCGGAGGAAGGUGGGGAUGACGUCAAAUCAUCAUGCCCCUUAUGACCUGGGCUACACACGUGCUACAAUGGACGGUACAAACGGUUGCCAACCCGGCGAGGGGGAGCUAAUCCGGAUAAAACCGUUCUCAGUUCGGAUUGUAGGCUGCAACUCGCCUAC